UCCGCGCGUUUGCGAUCGCGUUUCUGCGCGUCAUCGCGUUCUCGCACCAACUCAGAUGUAGCAGGCGGCAGGGGACCCGAAAGAUGGUGAUCUACGCCCAGUGUGGUGGAAGUUCGAAGCGCCUCUGACGUGCAAAUCGAUCGUCGUAACCGGGUGUAGGGGCGAAAGACCAAUCGAGCCGUCUAGUAGCUGGUUUUCUCCGAAGAUUUCCCCAGGAUAGCUGGCGCCAGUGGGGGAACGACACGCAAUUCCGUCCAGUAAAGCGAACGACUGGAGGCCCCGGGGACGUUGACGGCCUCGAUCUACUCUAGAACUCUGAGCGGGCGAAACGAGCCGUUCCUUUCUCGAUCGAAGGCUGCCGUAUAUCGCAGCCAUUGCGACGCGACGAAUAAACGGUACCAAGUGGGCCACUUUUGGUAAGCAGAACUGGUGAUUUGGGAUGAACCGAACGUCUGGCUUCGCCCAUUAGAUCCCCAAAAUCGUUCGCUCCUUUUUACGUAGUGAGUUCGAACUUCACCGAAGUCGACUUAUUUUCUUUUCAGGGUCGAUGAAGUAAAUACCAGUUAA
rnacentral:ncRNA from 1 species